rnacentral:rRNA from 1 species
CCUACGGGAGGCAGCAGUGAGGAAUAUUGGUCAAUGGACGAGAGUCUGAACCAGCCAAGUAGCGUGAAGGAUGACUGCCCUAUGGGUUGUAAACUUCUUUUAUAUGGGAAUAAAAUGUUCCACGUGUGGGAUUUUGUAUGUACCAUAUGAAUAAGGAUCGGCUAACUCCGUGCCAGCAGCCGCGGUAAUCCGGAGGAUCCGAGCGUUAUCCGGAUUUAUUGGGUUUAAAGGUAGCGUAGGUGGAUUGUUAAGUCAGUUGUGAAAGUUUGCGGCUCAACCGUAAAAUUGCAGUUGAAACUGGCAGUCUUGAGUACAGUAGAGGUGGGCGGAAUUCGUGGUGUAGCGGUGAAAUGCUUAGAUAUCACGAAGAACUCCGAUUGCGAAGGCAGUUCACUGGACUGCAACUGACACUGAGGCUCGAAAGUGUGGGUAUCAAACAGGAUUAGAUACCCUUGUAGUC